rnacentral:rRNA from 1 species
UUGAUCCAAGGGGGGCAGACGACAGUUAAUAUUAACAGAGAGGUGGGGUUGUACUUUAGGAAUAAGCGUGGCGUCCAACAAGGGGACCCAAUAUCCCCGCUUCUGUUCAAGAUGUUGGCCGACGCACUUGCGACAAUUCUCGAUCAUGCCAAGGAGGCAGGCCAUAUCUCGAGGGUGGCUUCGAGCAUUAUCCCCGAUAACACACCUUCAGUACGUGAAUGGCACGCUUAUCUUCAUAAAAAACUCAGAGUUGGAGAUUAUGAACCUUAA